rnacentral:rRNA from 1 species
ACCAGGGCUUCGGCUCUGGGGAAAGUGGCGAACGGGUGAGUAACACGUGAGUAACCUGCCCUCGGCACCGGGAUAGCCCGGGGAAACCCGGAUUAAUACCGGAUAGCCUUUCGAGCUCUCGAGCUCGUCAGAAAAGGUAGCUUCGGCCUCUGGCCGAGGAGGGGCUCGCGGCGGAUUAGCUUGUUGGUGAGGUAACGGCUCACCAAGGCGUCGACGGGUAGCUGGUCUGAGAGGACGAUCAGCCACACUGGGACUGAGACACGGCCCAGACUCCUACGGGAGGCAGCAGUGGGGAAUCUUGCGCAAUGGGCGAAAGCCUGACGCAGCAACGCCGCGUGCGGGAUGACGGCCCUCGGG